CAACAAGGGUGGGGCCGUCUCAGGACUUCCGCCUCUGUCCGAGAGGGCAGGAGGUCCAUCUCCUUUUGGGGGGUACCUCCCUGGGACCUUUCUGACUGGCACGUCAGGGUGUUACUCCACCAGUCGAUCUCCCUUUCACACUCCCUGAUGGUCCUCAGCGUCUCAACCUCCUCCUUAAGUUUCACAACCGUGUCGAGCAGAUCUUGGACCUGCUCACACCUCACACAGGUGGAGUGCUGGCCUCCCUCCCCCGGCAGCAGCAGGCUCUGGCACUCCCUGCAGCCGGAGACCUGAACAGCCACCGCUCGGGACAGAACCUCCUCAGUCCGCGUAGCCACAGCCUGUUUGAGACAAGCUCUCCUCCUGGAGGCGACCAUGGUCGUCAGCAGUCUGGGAUGCUGGCAAUAAGUUAGAGGGGCUGACAAGCGACAAGUGCUCUCUGCACCCUGCUGCACAAGCUACCACCCCCGCUGCUGCAGCACAGUGCGGGUGGGACUCACCCGCUACACAAGCUGGUUGCUCCUCCCUAAACCUGGUGGGCAGCGACUAGUGUCUGCCCUCCCAAAGGAUUUUUCAAGGCAAGGGGAGGGGUCACCGACACCGUGGGAACGCCCCCCGCCACGUCAGCCGCUGUCUCGCAAUGGCUGCCGGGGCUGCGGGGAUUGGGACACACCGGGAAUCACGCUGUCCCUGUGCGUUUGCCUCUGAGCUUCCUAAUCUCUGCUGAACCUCGUGGCCGGCUGAACCCCGCCGGCUCCGGCUCUAGCUGGGCUGGCUCCGAUCAGAUGACUGGAUGCUAGUAUCGAGUGCCUUUCUGGGCCCAGUGUUGGAGAUUGCCUUUGAAGCAAUUACCCUGUGAAUAAAUGGAGACUCCAUCGUGACUUGAAGGUGUAACCGAUGUAAUGAGGGAAGAAGGAAAUCUUUCUUAAGCGUGCUGUCCAGAAUAACCAUGGUGCUCCUCAAAUCACGUCUCUGUUACAAUUUGGUCUUGCCUCAUGAAAAAGAUGGUGGUGGGUGGUGCGUAAAUAAAAACAGAAGUGAUUUACAUCAGUUGGCCCAAAAUGAUGUUGCACUACAGUAUAUAACAAAGGACCCUGUUACGUUACAUCUGUUCUUGUCCCUGCAGGUGUCUCAUAGUUGUUCUGGAAAUGUUGCUCACAUGAGGAGCAAGCUGAUGUGCAGGUGUUCUUGCCAAUGGCAGUUGUCAGCCUGGGAGGGCGUUGCCUGUGCAAUACCACACCAGGUGUGGCUCCGUAUGAGGCACUUGAAUUACACCUCAGCUUGAAUCUAAGUUUGAGUUUUAUGGUUUGUAUGAAGUGAAAGGCUUUCACUGCCCAAAUGACAGCUCAGCGUUGGUGGGGGUUUUGAUGAAAGUUUGUUUUCUUCAGAAAGACUUCAGUUCUCUGGAAAACUUUUUUGAAAGCACACCCCUCAUGCGAGAUAUUUGGCAGCUGGGUCAUUUGUCAUUACCUCAGUGCUGGUGACUUUCAUCAUUCAUGGCAAGAAAAAAAUUCAGAAAAAGUGUAGUUAGAAAUGAGCCUUACAGGAGUUUUUAGUAACAAGAGUGAAGGACAAGAUCACUUGUAAAGAACAGGUUAACUGACAUAUAGCCCAAUCUGUACCCCUGUAACUAGCUUAGUCUGUGUCAUCUCUGCUCUUGUCUGAAGCAGGUGGCAGUGCUGAAGUCAAGUACUAGGCUGCUUUAGGUGUGAUGUAGGUUAAUAAUUACCCUUUGCAGGACACACUGCAGCCUGUUUUGAGACUCUGCUUAUCAUGUGAACGUGAAUGUGUCUUACUGCAAAAAGUUGAGCUGUCUUUGGUGAUCUGGUAAGUUGAGUGCACAUACUGCAGUAAAAUGGUGGACUGGGGAAGUAGCUUUUACUUGUCCAAAUAACCAACCACCAACAACAAUAACAAAGGGGGAGGAGAAAAAAAAACAACCCACCAAACAGUCCUUUGAGUGCCAGAAAUGAUAAAGCCUGGUUACAUUUGGGUUUGUGGCUCUUCAUAUAUAUUUUGCUGUCAUAGAACUUUACAAUAUGUUGAGAUGUGGGUUUUUUGUUUGUUUUUUUGUUUUUUUUUCCUGUGGAUUUGAGGGUUUCUAACUGUAUAUGGAACUGUUUGCAUGACCGUCUGCUUUUCUGUAGCAUAAUGAAUUUUUCUUUGGCUGCUUAACCUCCUAGGGGGGCAAACCUCUGUCCCAGUCACAUUUGUUGAAUAGGUUUUAGAGGAGGAUUCAAGAUGGAUAAAUAAGACCACAACAUACUUAGAUAUAUCUAUCUCAUUGGUACAACUUCUUAGGAAACAAGGUUCUCUUCAGAAACUUUGCAAAAACCCCAAACUCCAGAACUAAACCCUAAAUCCUCAGUGGCAUAUGAACUUGUCACACCCUGCGUGCCCUUUUGGACUCUUUCUUCCACAUUGAAGGCCUCAGCUCAUCCAAAAGUUUUGGAUAAGAAGCCAUUCUUUUAUUUUUAUUUUAUUUUAUAUUUUUGUAGCUGUUCUGCUAUUUGCUGAAGGAUAUCUCAGCUAGCUACUCCAGUUUCCCAACUGCCCUUCCACAUAGGGGCUUUUUAAGAGGCCAUUAUUGUUUUAAGGUGUCUGAUAGAGGCUAAAGCAUGAGAAUGAUCUGUGUUGCAUAAUGACAUUUCAGAUUUUUAACUUUUCCCUGUCUCCCAUUAAUCCUUCUGCAGGUUUCGUCAGCACCCCAUAAAACCUGUAUGUUACACAUGUUCCAGUGUUCUUCACAACAGCAGGCUGGCUGCUGCGUAUUUUUCAGAUUAUGCCGAUUUUUUUGGUUUUUUUCCAGACCCUUUGCAGAACAGGGGGAACUGAAACUAAAGAUCGUGAGGUUCCGUCCUGGAAAUUCUACUGCUCUUGGAGGCUUCUUUUCGAAGCCAGAGCGCUGUAAGGAAGGUUAAGUGUAAACAAGAAUCAGAGACUUUCAAGUGCAGAGGGCUGACAAAGCCAUUAAUUCUCCUUUUUCAAUAGAUCAGUGAACGAUAUUGCAAGGGCCAGAGCAUCUGCUGAUGUAAAUUAUUGUAGUUUUACUCAUCACGGGAUUCAAAUAUCUUCAUUCCAGCUGGGAAUGUGUCACUGAGAGAUAAUUUUGCACCAUCAGCAUCAAGGGAGACAAAAAAGCAACAUUAAACAACAAAAACAACAGCAACAACAAAAAACCUGCCUAGGUCGAUAUACAGGGCAUUAAAGACCUACUUUAAAACAAAAGAGAAGGAGCCUACACUUUGUAGGUGGUCUUGUUAAAUGAGGCUUUUUGUUUGUAAUUACUGGCUUUACAGAUGAAAUGUAGUUAAGAAAGUGCAAAUUAGCAGCCUGCUCUUGCAUAUGCUGAAGUAUUGAUAUAAGUAGGUCCUUGAACUUCAAAGGGGUUACUCACAUGAGCAAAAUUAAAUGCAGAACUGUUGUUUUUUCAUUCACUUUCUUCUAGGUUGGUGUCUCCUAUAAUUUCUGGGGGUUCGUUCUGAAAACCAGACCCAGUUCCUCUGGAGAUUGCAAGUGUAAUCUCAUUACCUGCUAAUAAACCACGCUUUUUUCUUUUCUUUUUCUUUUUCUUUUUUUUUUUUUUUUUUUUUUUUUUUAAUUUCUCCUUUCUGCAUAGAUUACUUUGCUUCGCCUUGCUUCUUGCAUGUUCAUGGAAGGCUGGAAUUAGCUUGUGGCUGGUGACAUUCUUACCAGAACAUGCAGUCCGGUCAGUAAUACACGACAGAUGUAUUACUUGUCUCACUCUGGGAUAGCUUCUAUAUGUGUAGGCAACAUUCCCAGUCCCGGGCAGGUGUCUGAAGAAGGCCAGGCUAACACAGCCAAGUUUGCAAGAGGCAGAAUCUCACUGUGGCUGAAUUUGAUAGGGAUCUGCCUCCUCUUUGCCUCUGCUGUUUUUCUUGCAGUGAUACUCCAGUCCAGCUGCGUGGGGCUGGUGCAGGGGAGUGGGAGGAGGAGAGGUCAUUAAAAUUUGCCCUGUGGGUUGACAGCUAGCCAAACCUGUUUAACACUCUAGGUUGUUUGUACAGCCUAUUUACUAGUGCAUUUUGUUUUCAGAAAAUGCAAGUGACUUGGUUUACAGAUAGAGCUCCAAGAGUAGGUACAUGUGACCCAACCAAGGGGCAUUGUAGUUUGGCUAAUUCAGCCUAGUUAGUGCUGAGUUCCAAAUGCACUAGAUUCCACCAAAGUUGAGAGAUAGAUGUUGCUUCCAUUACUUCCAAAUGAAGUUUUGUAUUAAACUUCUUAUGCUCUGCUGUGGGUGCAGAGUUUUGCAUUUUAAUCAGAUGAGAAAUCCUGUUCUUGCUCCUCCAUUUUCAGUGAACCCCUCUUUAUGCCUGAUUCGGACGCUUCCCAGGCCUAUCUGCAGGUUUGCAUCCAUGCCCUUGCUUCACAAAGGAAAACACAAACAAGUCUUUCAUCUGACUUCCAUUGAAGUCAAUGAGAGUUUUUCCACUCACUUCAGUGGUAGUUGGAGUGAGUCUUUCAUCUUUCCUUCCUAGAAGCUGGUUGAUCUGGGUCCCUUUUUGUUCUUCCUGUCCUGGCCCUUGUCCCCAUCAUGUCUGAGUACUUGGGUCAGUAGUAGAUUACUCUGUCUUGUUCUGGUACUCUUCUUUCCUGUUGUUUGAUGAGGCUAGGGAAUAAUAGUGUCUCCAUUAUUCUGGAUGUCUCUAACUAAGGAUGAAUGGCAAAGAUAAAAGACGAGAUUUUUCAAGAUGCAAGUGACAGUUUCAUAUGAUUUUCAAAGGUAUUUAGAAGCUUCAGAGACUACCACUUUGUUCCUGUUUCUUUAAGCCUGUAAUUAUCCUGAAAGGACCUAGCAUUAAUUAAUAAAUUAAGGUCAUGGACAAAGUCUGUUGCAGAGGAGCUGAAGAGGCAUGAGCUCUACAUCUGUUUCUGAAUGUUCGCUCUUCGGAAUUCCAGACAUCUCGGUCUUGGGCAUCAUCAUACACUGGCUGUACAGGCAAAAUGUCAGCGCCACAUACCUUGGAGGAAACCUGUAUGGAAAAGCCACUCUUCUGAGUAUGUGGUGGUGGCUGUGGCCACCAUAUUCAAGCAUUUGAGGGCUUUCCUCCCUUUCCUUAGUUAUCAGUUUUCAUUUUGGGGAGGUGGUUGUGUGAUUUUAGAGAAGUGUAAACAGACUAAUAAUUGCAAGGCUUAGACCCCAGAGAGUGACUGUUCUAUGAGUAAGCUUUCAGAGGUAAAGAGCAGCCUAGUGACUUGUUCCUUUCAUAUAGGAAUAAUAUAGGAGACACCAAGAUGUGACAGAUGAGAGAUCUGCAAAACACUUAUUCUGUGUCCUACUACCUGUUGACAUAAGGCAGCUCAACACUCCAGCUCUUAGCUUAUCUAGAAGACUUCGCCUGGUUUAUGGCUGCUCUGAGUUGCUUGGAUAUGCACACUAUAGCAAUUAGUUAUGCUAGCGAUUAGUUGUACCUCCAAAAAUUGAGUUCCUCAUUAAAGCCUGGCCCAAGAUGUGAAGACCUAGCAUUCACCUGGAAUCUUUCAAGUCUCUGAACAUUGAAAGUCUAAUAGUAAUAAUAAUAAUGAUGAUUAUAUAUAAACACAUUAACACUUACCAAGUAUGUCACAACCACACAAAGGACAGACUAAAGCGUGUUGACGAGAAUGCAAGAAGCAGCAGAACAAAAGUUCAAUGAUAGUGACUGCACACCUUCAUAAUAAACAUCAUUAUUUUAAUAAAAAGUAUGUCCCUUUGACCAGUUUUUUUUCUCAGAAGAUGUUCAGGGCACUUUAUAGCAUAACUGUGUCUCUAGGAUUACAGACAGAAGGACUGAUAUUUUUUCUGAGCAGUUUUGGUCCAAAAAGCUGCUUCCAUCCCCCCACCAAGAGCUCAGAAACUGAGGAAACAAAGCAUGCAUGUGAACGUAGUCUUAAUUAUUCUUCCUGUGGCUUGUGUACAGAGGAGGGCAGGAUCCACACAUACUUCAGGUGGUGAGUGCAGGAGCAGAGCAUCAUUGGAGUUUGAACCUAAUCUGAGUGUGCUGGUACAGUAUUCAGGGAGCUGUUGGGUUUAGAAGGUAGGCUACCGGGUCGAUGCUUGGGAAGUAUCAGUGCUUAUCUUCACCACUGAUUUCCUGUGCAUUUGGGGUCCAUGUUCCUGGAAUAGCAAGGCAUGCUCAGUCAGCCAUGUUUCCAGUUGGGCUGCUGCUUCAAGGCCAGCUACAGGGUGCCCGAGCCAUUCCUGCCCUCCUUCAGGUGUUGGUACUCCAUCAGCACGUUAUCACGCUCUCAUGAUAACGUGCAUUUUGCCUUCAAACUGCAUGGAGAUUCCCCAAGCAGGAGGUGAGGUAACCACCUGUGACUGAUUGCCUCCAGAGCAGACAUGCCAGCUUAGCAUCUCUCUAGGCACUGAGGCUGUGUUUUAGCUAAGCCAGCAAGAGAAUACAAAAUUUGGAUGCUUCCUCCUCACUAAUCCAUCUGUGUAAUUAUGACAGACAGUGGCUGAGGCUUCUCCACCGUUGGUACCCCAGAAGCCUCAAUGCAAUAAGAGAUGUUAAUGGUAUCUCCUGUAUCACUGACCAAGAGACCACCAUACACUGAGGCAUUACUGAUCCACAUAAAGGUUACCUGGAGGCGCACAGGCCUGCAUGGGGCUGCAGGUCCAGCAUAGACUUCAGUCUCUUGUGCUGCAGGUACCCCUCAGCCACGGGGCAGCCCCUCAGCCUGCCCUGAUGGGAGAGCCUACAGCGAUCUCCCACUUUGUACCAGCAAUUACACCACCUGCAUGGCCUUGCCUUCAUCUGAAAGUGCAGCAAGAAGCUCUCAUUUGAACAUUGUCUUCAUUUGACAGUGGGAAUGAUGAACAGAAUUGUUGUAUUGUAAGAAAAUUCUAUAAUAUGUCUGAAAUAACCAAAAUGGGAUAACCUUUCUGUGGACUGGAUCUGCACACCAUGCUGCACAGCUCAGGCUUGCCAGCAUCUGAAGGGAUGUUACAUUGCCUACAGUCCCCUCUCUUUCUUGACAGUAUUAGCUCUAAUAAAAAGCAUGCACAAAGUCAGAGUUCCUUUCUUAAGAAGCCAUGAUGGACCAGCACCUCCUGGUGCAAAAACACUGCCAUGAAGACAAGAGUUUGCCACUGUAAACAAAUAACAUAUAGCUGGACAGAACAUGAAAGAUCACAUUGAAAACUGUGUUCUGCAAAGAGGAAUCUGAUUUUCCUGAGGUGAGACUGCUGCUGGGCUAUUUUACCUUAGGCUUUUUUCAUGACUGGCUCUAAAUAUCCCAUGGAAAGCUGAAUUAAUGCAUUUUAAAGAAGAAAAAAAAAAAAAGAUUAAAAAAAAUCCCUAAAUUACAUGUGAUAGUGCAUUUGAACACAAAGACAGAAUUCUCAGGAAAAAUCUGCUAUGGUUUGCAUGGGCCUAGCUAAAGACACUCUGUCUCAGAAGAAGAAUUUGCAGCAGACUCAGGUGUUUCGAUUUCAGCUCUUGCAUUCAGGCUUUGAAUCAGCUCAUGUGCAUUUCCAGAUGCUCUACCACCAACUCUCUGAAGGUGGUAGUGUUCUCUUCUCCAAACUUGCAACUCCUACACCUAAUGCAAAAGUUAAAUGACUGUCUGCUGUAGAGAUGAGGAAGAGCAAAGCAGGUGGGAGGAAAGAAAUUGAACAGCAGGAAGCCCUUGCAGAAGUCAAUCUGCACUUUCCUGGUGAGCUGAAAACUGUCCUAUGCAUCCCAGUGAAGAAGGAUCUCUGCUGUGCAGUGCUGAGGGCUUCUUCUUCCAUGGUGUUAACUUGUUUAUCCCUUUUUGGAGCAAAGAGAGGGAGAAAUGCAAAGAUGCAUAGGACACUGUGGUCACUGCCUCAUUUUAUUGCUCCAAGGAGUGGUGUAGAAAAGGAGAUACUUCUGCUUGAGCCUACGUAUGUCCCAGGGAGGGGAAAAUGAGAAAUAAAGAUGCAGUGCAAAGGUAUUUAGACCACUUGUACUACCUAUUCCCAUUAUGGUGACUCAUGUAGGGACAGAAAUGUGUUUUGUUGAGGGUAUUAGGCAUGCAUUCCACUUCAUUCUGCAUUGGCAAAUGCCAGGUCUUGUUCAGAUCUUGUUCAGAUCUUGUUCAGAUCUUGUUCAGAUCUUGUUCAGGUCUUGUUCAGAUCUGCUGGAUCUAGUUGCAUCUCACCAGCCGAGAGGCAGCAACCCACAGUUACGAGUUUUGUACGCUGCUGUGUCCCUUUAGUGUAUUAGAUGCAAUCUAGGCAGGGGGAACCAAACCAAACCAAACCAAAUGAACACGUAACUGGCAAAUCUGGAGGUAGGUGGGGAACCAAAGGUCCUAGUCGAUAGCAUGGCAGUACUUAAACUCAGCUUUUGAGAGUCUCAGUUUUGUACACAACCUGUCCCAGGAGGAAAAGUUUCUGUGAGUUGGUAAUACCCUGUGCACAGUAUUUUGUUGAAAAACAUCCACAGUGACAACUGAUGGCCAUUUGCCAUUUUGUGAAAACAAGCUUGUGACAUGUACAGCAUGAGACAGUAUCCAUGCAGCAGGUGACCUGAGAUAACCUAUUGAAAAAUAACAAGGCACAGGAGAAGUUAAAGCUCUUAAAUACUUGCUUGGUGGUUUCUGUCCACAGCUAGUCAUGAAGCCACAAGCAGGGCCAGAUCCGUGAUGUGGGCAGUAGUGUGGGCACCAUGGCUGAUGAACGCCUGGAUACUCAUGUUCUAUGCUAAUAUUGGCAGAAAAAUUACUUAAUAGAGGAAGAGUUUUCCAGAUCUAAAUUCUGCUUCUUCAUAUGCACAGAAUUUUUCUUAAGCUUUCCUUUUGUUGCACACAGCACAUGAAGUUAAUCCUUAUGCUUUACUAGCAAGACUCCCACUGUGUAUACUGGUCCAUUAUCAACAUCUCUUCAGAGACACCAACAUCCCUUCAACCACAGCAUGUUGUUCUGUGGAUACUGAGACAGAUACCACAGCUGAGCUGUUGUCACUUGUGUUUUGUUUUGUAAGAAGCAGCAAGGCAUGAAAAAAACACAAGUAUCUUAAUGCUAAAGUCCUUCAAGCUGCUUCAGAUGGGGCAACCAUGGCCAAACACAUUUUAAGAAACCCUGUCCUUGUGAUGAGAUACGGGCUGAAAGUUUGCCAGUAGGAGUGAUGUUUCCACUGCAAAUUUUCCAGCGUUAAAGUAUGAUUGUGAAAGGACAGCAAGAUCUGUGAGGACAGGUUAUACUUUAUUAACAAUUGUUCACUUUUCAUCUUAAAUAAAAUAAGACAAAACAUGAAAUUUAGCUGGGAGGCAGGUUGUUAGGGUAAGUCUAAGAUAUGCCAGAUAUAAAACAGGUUUUCCUGUCUUUGAUCACCAGGUCAGCCAUUGAUCUGAAAUCAAACCAAAUCAAGCAAAGCCUUGUGAUGCUGACCUCUAAGAGUCUCUCCAGGAAGCAGCUUGGCAUGGAGACAGGAAUUUAACUUAAUCAUAUUCAGAAAACAAAGAAGCAGAAAUUACAGCAUCACUGGAGUCACUGAAGUAUUGUGAGUUGCCUUCUCAGAGUCUUAAUAAAAGAUGGAUAAACAGGUUCCAAAAAUAUGUGAAAACACCACACCUAAACUCUAGCCCAUUCCUAGCAUUAAAAUGUUAAAUUAAACAAAAUGUUUUCAAAGGCUUUGAAAUGUUUAGUGAUUAUUUAUAUGAUGGCAGUGCCUUCAAGCCCAGACAAAAAUCAAGGCCCCACUGACCACACACGGCUCUUGCCACUUAAAUGGUCAGGACUGUGCUUCCAAAAAUGACAGUUUACAACGUCUUUUAAAACUGGGCUGGUGGCUGCAGUGACUUGAGAAGGCUUCAGAGGACCAUUCUUAGACACUAGCAGGCUUUUAAUUCCUUCCCCCCCUCUGUGUCAAUCUUUUCCCCUUGCUUUCUUUCUAAGUGCAGUUUCCCUUGUGUUAAGCAGCUUCCAGGCCUGCUGCAGGGCGGCAGGAAAGGUGGCAGCAGUGUGAGGUCUCCGCUUGUCCCUGCUGGGUCUGGCAGUGCUGCUGGGUUCUGGCAGUGCUUCAGCCCACAGCACAGCCCAGCCCAGGUACAGGGGGUCAUUUUGGCAGGUACUGCUUCUAAGAAGCAUCCACAGAAGCACAGAUAGAGACAGUCAUGCCUUCAGAGGCUGCAAGACCUCUGAUCUCUUUCUAAAAAUCAAUCUAUCACCAUAUCUCCAAGUCCUAUAUACCAGGGUGGAAUUUUUUGCAUGCUCAUCAGAGUACACUGGGCCUGAAACUGAGUUUGACCUCCUCCCCAAGUACUAUCUGAAAGGCAGUUUUCAGUUCCAUUUGUUGUGGGGUGCCUGUGAAUUACCAUGCUCCCAGGCCUUGCUAGCAUCUCUGCGUAUAAAACGUUGCUGUCUGUGGAGAAGGAAGUUACAUGCACGCCUGAGCACCGGCUGAUGAAACUUAGAGCUGUGCGCCUCUGCCAGGUAGUUUACAAAGUGAUUGCCAAGGGGAGGGAAGGCUGUUUGCUGUCUUCCUUUGCAUGGCACUCUGCAGUGGUCCCUGUCACGGCUGGCUGGAUAUGGCAGCUAUGCAGGACCAAAAGAGUGGCCCUGUUGUCUCUAUUACCCCACAGUCAGAAAACACUCUGCUUUUUAAACUUUUGCACAUCGUCUACCUGUCUGGCUUUCUCUGUGAAGAUAACCCUCAAACCACAUUAAACAACUAGUACAUGGGGAAAUUUUGUGCAAGGUCCCAGAAUUUUUGUAGGUGCAGUAAGGGUAAAAUAAAUCGACUGAUUGAAUUCAUCUUACCUGCUUGGCUCAAAUGUGAGGGCAAAGGUUAAUUUACCACAAGUGUUUAUCUUGAUGGUCAUGAUUCAGCUUGCCAACUGUUCUCAUAUGACCAGAACAAAUUUAUUCUCAUGACAAGAGAAACAUUAAUAGCCAUUUUAUCAGUCGAAUGUCUAAAAACCGCAUUUGCCAUUCUAAUGCAUGUCUCCAGCGUGGAGGGCUAAUUAAUUGAAUGGCCUGUUUGUGUUCUGCUUCCUCUGUUGACUUUUUAACUUCCCCUUCAGAAUAGCUAAACAAACUUAUUAGUGCAUUUAAUGUUGAAAUCAAAAACUUUGUGUGGAGGGUGAGUAGUUUUCUAAAUGUCCUGGAGGGCCUUGGUUGUGCUCGUCAGCUUAAUGUUGGCUGUAACCGUCAGGUUGGAGCCACGCAUAUGUACCUGAGGCUUAAAUAACUGGAGUCUCACCAAGGCUGUCUUUGGUUAGUGCUUUGCAUAUUCAGGUUGUAAGUAGAGGCAGCUCAGAACUCACUGCUGGGCUGAGCUGUCACUGGAGCAUCAACUAUCUGGGCAAGAAGAGGACUUGCACCUGGAGAAGGGACAUAGUAAUGCCCAACUUUGAUCCAGUGCUGCUUGCAGCAGCCUGCACAGGCCUGGCUGUACUGCCUGUGCCCUGGAAAAGAUCAGUUCUGGCACAGGCAGCCUGGCAUGUCAGCAAGAGCCAAGAUCUAUUUUCAUUUCAAACAGGCCCCCGAUAUAAAUAAAUAAACGAAACUUGAAAGAAAAUGUCAAAAGAAACCAUCCUGAAACAGAUAGUGAAAAGUUUUCUUCCUGAUUCAUGCAAAGUCAAUUAGCGUGUUACUAAAUACAUGCCGAGAGACAUCAUCGUAAUAGGAACAAUCAGGUCAUUUGAAUAGCCAAAUAUGCUUUUAUGCCAUAUUUGUUUACCUUGUAGAGUCUAUCCAUGCUAUGCAUGUAAAUGCCAAAGUCUUUUUCUUGUUAAGCUUAGUAAUCCCUCCUCCCCUCAGCUAUCAGUGUGGUUCCUUGUUUGUACCUGUCAAGGGCUGCUGCAACUUACAACUGUUGGUUUAAGCAAAUGUGCAGUCCUUUGCCAACAGGAAUAUCCUGUUUAGUAGAGCGCUCUAAGGUGCCAUUUAUAUAAACUUAGCUGUAUACUGUCACAACACACCACUCCAUGAAAAGAUAAGCAGGUGCUACAGGUAAGGGAGACCCUUACUAGAAACAUAGCCAUUUGUCUAGGCAGAGACACUGAUUUUUCUUUAAUGUGGGAUGGGAUGAUUUACAAUGAGGGUGGUAAAACAGGUUGCCCAGAAAGGUGGCAAAAGCCCCAUCCCUGGAAAUAUUCAAGGCCAGGCUGGCUGAGGCUCUGAGCAACUGGAUCUAGUUGAAAAUGUCCCUGCUUGUUGCAGGGUUGGACUAGAUGACCUUUAAAGGUCUGUUGCAACAGAAAACAUUAUUAUGAUCUUGUGAUUCUCUGAUUAACGCCCAGUUAUCUGCUGGCAACAGAAAAAGCCCUCUCGGUGCAAAGGGACUGGUAAGGUAUGACAGCAUCCAACUGCAAAUCAAGGCAGCCAAACGUGAGGCCUCUGACAAGUCUAGUUCUCGCUUGAUCUGCAGUUUAUCAGACAAACAGUCAUAAGCACAGUCGCAGUCAUUAUACUCAGUCCUACGCCAAACAGACUUCAGCCUAAGCAUGCAAAGUGACUGGGAAUAGGGAAGUGAUCUUCGUUCCUCUUUUAGGUAUAGGCAACUGAAACACAGGGAAGUUCUGGCACUAAUUCAGCAAGGUACUUAAGCCUGUAUUUAAUUUUUAAGCUCUGAAAUGCGUGGGUGGGAGCUGGCUCCAUGAAGUCAAAGGCAAAACUCACAUGAAGCAGGAUUUUGCCUUCUCUGACUAUGAAAGUGUUUUGGGAGGGAAACAGCUUGCCUCAGGUCACACUGGGAGUCUGUGGCAGAGCUGAGAAUUGACACUGGGUGUCCAAAGUCCGAAACUAGUGCCUUAACCUGUUUUUAACUUACUGCAUGCUUCCUCCAAAAACAUCAUUGCACAUACUUAGAUACACCAGAUAGCCCUGAAUUACUAUAAGCCCAUCACUUGUUUUGGACAGCUUUGGAGGGUAAGAUGAAAAUGCAUCUUUGAUUUUAUCCUCUGAGUGAUAUUUAAAUAAGAUACAAACAAACUUGACUGCAUGCUCAUGGAGGAUUGUGUUAUGUGAUAUAUACAUCAUUGCUGAAUCUCUGUUUUUAUGUAUCAGUGAAGAGCACAGCUAAAAGCCAAGGACUAUGGCAUGGCAUUGGCUUAUGUAGGUAGCCUAUUGCUGUAUUGAUCUUUUCUAGGUUUCUAAAACUGAGAGGCACGGCUGAAGUGGGAUUGCUCAGAGAUUUCCUCCAGCAUCAGUGGCACAACACUGCCAGUUUCAUGCACCGAUUUAUUUACUCCAAUUGUUUCUGACCUAAAAUCGUGCUGCCAGCCUAAGCUCCUGACAAAUCUCUGCCCUCUCAAAUAAACAUGCUGUGGUCAACUGGGGCUGAGUGCACCUGCCUUGUCAAAGGUAAAGGUACAGAUGAAGAUAAGAUGCUUUGGCAUGGAUGGUGGAGUUCAUGUUCAUGUCUGCCCAUGGGGCUGCUGGUGGUGUUCAGGCAGGACGGGAGUGCUGCUCAGAGCUGAAAACCCAGGCCAGUCACCUCAUCGGGAUCUGUGGUUGCAUGAACCGAGAAAACCCACCCUGUACACCCCUUCACGAGGCCUGUCCCCAUGGGCACCAGGACAGCAGUACCCGGAGCUGGAUGGCUUCAUCCGCAGUCCAGCUGCCAUCAUUGGGAAGCCGCAGGUGAGACCCUGCCCAGUCUGUCCCUGCCGGUCCGCUUCAGAAGGUCUCAAAUGCUUACAGCGCCCCCAGGCCAGCCUGAGCCACAGCACUGGCUUUGAUGUGCCGCCUCUUGCUGUCUUGUUAUUCUCCGGCGCCUCCCGGCUUGCCUUUACUUAUUUUUAAAAUUUUUUUAAAUUUUGGUUUGUUUUAUUUUAUUUUAUUUUAUUUUAUGUAUUAUUUUUAUUUAAUUAUUUUAAUCUCGGCGCGACAAAGCGCGGAGCCGCCGCCGCCGCCGCCGCCGCCAGGCUCCUGCCCGCUGCCGCCUGCCGUCCGGCCCGGCGCCGCCACCGCCCUCAGGGUGGCACUAGAAAACAAUGAAUGACGGCUCGGCGGGCCCGUGUGCUGCGCUGCUGCCGGGCUGCCCAGGCUCUGCAGGCUGGCUGGUACCUGCUCUGCCAGACCCUCGCUGCACUCCGGGUGUAUCACUUUCCUCUGUCAGCAGUAAGAGAUUUUUAGGGUGAAGUCUGCACCAACACUAAAACCCACUUACGCUUCUCGAAUAUCCCAGUGUUUCUAAGCUAGACUGGUGUGAAUCCUACCUCAUCUGUUAAUGCUUGCUGAAAGGCUGUCAUCCAGCCCCCAAGUAUCAGAAAGUGGUACCUCACAGUAAUGCCUUCUGUCAUGUUCCACCAGCAAUACUUCAUCUUGUUUCACAGCAUCACAGAAUGGUUGUAGCUGGAAGGGACCUUUGAAGAUCAUCUAGUCCAACCCACCUGCUAAAGCAGGUUUACCCAGAGCAGAUUACACAGGAAUGUGUCCAGGCAAGUUUUGAAUGUCUCCUGAGGAGACUCCACAACCUCUCUGGGCAGCCUGUUCCAGUGCUCUGGCACCCUCAAAGUAAAGAAGUUUCUCCUCAUAUUCUGAUGGAACCUCCUUUGCUUCAGUCUGUGCCUGUUGCCCCUCAUCCUAUCAUUGGGCAGGAAGGAGACUGGUCCCAUCCUUUUCCAAAUAGUGCUGUUCUUUUAUUUUGACUGAAACAACAAUUAAACAUUUCAAGUCAGGAACAAAAAUAAAGAGUGUUUUCCUUCCACUGUGGACCUCAGCUUUCAGACCCCAAAUGUGAAAUGUUAUUUUGGUACAAGAUGAACAAAAGUGAAGAUACACAGAGGUAUUAAUACUGGCUUUUGGUGAAGAGCACAGCGAUUUAUAGUUUUAGAUUUCCGUAAGCCAAAGAAUAAAACUCUAGCAUGAAAAGGUAAUAAAAAUCCAGCAGCACAGAAACCAGUAACUCAAACAUCUGGAAAUGUUAUUAUU